ACGCGAAGAACCUUACCUGGACUCGAAAUUUUGUUGACAGUCUCAGAGAUGAGAUCUUCCCGCAAGGGACAGCAGAAUAGGUGCUGCAUGGCUGUCGUCAGCUCGUGUCGUGAGAUGUUGGGUUAAGUCCCGCAACGAGCGCAACCCUUACCCUUAGUUGCUAAUCCGCAAGGAAAGCACCCUAAGGGAACUGCCUCGGAUAACGAGGAGGAAGGUGGGGAUGACGUCAAGUCCUCAUGGCCUUUAUGCCCAGGGCUACACACGUGCUACAAUGGCCGGUACAAAACGUCGCAAACCCGCGAGGGGGAGCCAAUCGCAAAAAACCGGUCUCAGUUCGGAUUGCAGGCUGCAACUCGCCUGCAUGAAGCUGGAAUCGCUAGUAAUCGCGUAUCAGAACGACGCGGUGAAUACGUUCCCGGGCCUUGUA
rnacentral:rRNA from 1 species